CGGUGCGUGCGUGUAUUGUGUAAGUUUUCGCACGCGAGCGGAGAGCUGCUACGCAGCAGCGACGCAGUCGAGUGCGUGACUACGCUGGCACACCGGCGCUAACUAGCGUGUUUGCCCCACCAACACCAACACCCUAAGCCUUGGCGCACCCUUCUCCAUAGACACACGCACAGGCCACAUAAGCCGUUGCGCGCAUCUUCUCCGGAGGCCGGUGAGCGCCUCUUGUUGUUGUGUCUUCCGAUCUCCCUCUCUCAUCCAUUCAACAGAUCCGCAAACCUCGCAUACUGCGCGCGCACGCUCAUCACGGUACUGGCAGCAACAGCAACGGUGACCGCGAGCGAGGCCAUGGAGAGUAGUAUCAGUGGCAGCGGCGAGUCCAGUGGAAGCUCCAAAAGUCGAAGCAGCAGCGUGGACUCUGCGCGUGCCGUAGCCGCCGCGCGCGCGUACGACACCGCUGCUAUCGCCAUCAUUCCUGGUCUCGUCGUGCCACUCACGAGCGCCUCCUCCAAGGGUGGUUGUGCAGCCCUCGCGUCUGCCGUUGCCUCUCUUGAAGCGCUGGCCGACACGGUGGACACAGUGCUGGAUCGGCUGGACAAGGCAGCAACGUCGCAGCAGCGGCGCCUCAACGGCGUUCAAAGACGCAUCUGCAUCUGUGCCGAUUUUAUUGACUGCUUGCGAGGGCGACGCACAUCAACGCUACUGGAGAGCAAACCUCGAUACCCUCAGCUCGUGCCGUUCAAGCCCCGCAGUCGCGGGGGCGGCGUGAGGGCGAAGACGGUCAAGUCGCAGCGGGGCGCGCAGGACGGCGCGAACGCCGCUGCUAUCGUGAUCAGCGGCGUCCCUUCAGCGGUGAGCACGGCUCACAGUCAUCGCUUCCUGCGACCACGCCGCUCGUCCCCGCUGCCACCGGUUGCGCCGAGCUCCUGCAGCGGGUCCUCCACUGACGACUCCGACGACGACGCAGCACAGCAGCCGCAGCAGCCGUCCUACCAGCCGCCGAUGCGUGCUGUUCCAGUGGUGUCCGCGUUCGCCGACUCUGAGCGCACCAUCGCCACCGCACACCGCGGUUUCGCUCGGUGUGGCGGCAGCGACAGUAAUGUCAGCAGUCCUGCUCCGCCCGUGAACGCCGUCGCUGCCAUGCGGCUGGCAGAGUCCAUGCCACUGGAGACAGUGAUCUUAGACGGUGAGGAAAGUAGCGCCGUGGCGGUGGGGCACGGGGGCCGUGACGAGGCAGCUGCUGGGCACUUGAGCGUGCGGGGUACGUUGAUGAACGCGGCCUCGCUGCAGCCAUCUUCCUCCUCCGCGCUUGCCUGGCAACCUCGCUGUCUGCCGGCCGUGCGAGGCGGGCAGGCCAUGCAUAACGCGAGCGAGAUGCCCGGCACUCUCAGCGCCCUUGUGAGCUACCCUGCACACCGGAUGGCUUACCGGCAUCUGGUGGUAGCAAGCAGCAGCAACGAUGGCAACGCGAAGGGCGCCAUCGCGUCGGUGCAGCACGGCACUCCCAUCUACAGAGACCCUUACAGCCCCACAGGGCUUGCGGCGACGGCACGGUCGGCAACGAGGACGUGGCUGCACAGCACCAGCACGGUGGAUAUCCAAUGCGACUUUACUACGCCGUUGCAGGCGCAGCAGUAUGCCUUCGUGCCCGGCGGCGACGCGGCGGCAGCGUCAUCGCGAGCCCUGUUGCGGGACAUGCCGCGGAAUCUGCCGCUUCAGCACUUGGCUUCCGUGCGGCGCUGGGACCAACGUGGCGGGGAUAUGCAGGGUCGCACCGGCGGUAGCACUGGUUCCGAAGACGACGAAGACGUCGAAGAGCACGAUGAAAACGGUGGCCCCCGGCAGCAACGCCGUGCGUCACGUCGGGGUCCGCGCGACUUUGAGACGAUCGCCCCUGGCCAAGAGCAGCGACAGCGACGGGCUCGUCGGCGUCACGCUGUUGGCGACGGCAGCACGGCAUCAGAGGGGAGUGACGAUGAUACUGAGGCCGCGGCCCGCGCGGUAAACCGCAGGCGUGAAAGCGGUCGAGCAAGGCCCAAGCAACAGCAGGCUCGCGAUACCUCCACCCAACCCACUGCCGCCGCACUCUCCGCUCCGCCUGCCGCGCCUCCGUCGCUGGCACCACCACCGCCGCCAGGGGUGACGCGCUCCACUACGGCGCCGCCACCGCCACCGCUCCCACCGACGGCGUUGUUGCAAGGCAAGCCGAACCCGCCAAUGUUUCCGCUCGGCAGCGGUGGGGGCGCUCCUCCGCGCGUGCCACCACCGCAACCGCCGCCGCCGCCGCCGCCGCCGCCGCAAGUGUCAAAAUUGUUGUCAGAGCUGAAGUAUGCCAGCGGAAGUCGUCCGCCUCCGCCUCCGCCACCGGCGCAGGCCGCUAUGGUGCCGUCAGUGUCAUCUGAAGCACCGCCACCGCCGCCGCCGCCGGCCUCGUCCAAGCUGCCUGUUGGUGCGAAGCCAGGCGGCGGCCUUGUAGCUGCACCCGCCGCGCCACGUGUGCCCCCUCCCCCUCCACCACCACCUCAGUCACAGAAGUCCGCAGUCAGUGCCCUGACUUCAAUGCUGGGCGAGCGCCGCAGGGUCCUGCAAGGCGACGACUCGAGCAGCACCAGCAGUGGCAGCGGUACCGGCAACAAGUACGGCGGCGCUAACAGGAGGCAAGCAGACAGCUCGGACUCGUCUUCUUCGUCGGCGCCUCCGCGUGCCAAUCCUACCGCGCGAGGUCGCAUGGUCGGUUCGGCAGCGCCGCAGAUGGCCGGCGGCAGUUCCUCGAGUAGCGACGACAGCGGCUGAAGGUGCUACGGGCGAGUUCAGAUGAGGGAGCCGGGGCAAAACGUGUGUGCUUCAGAAAGAGGCGAGUAGUUCCUCACCGUCCCCCCCUCGUCCUACACAGAGAGAGCACCUUCACCAACCCGCUCCCACCCACGUGGCAUGCCUGUGUCCACAUAAUGUCUGUGGAUCCUUCCAUGUCCGCCUAGGUGAGGGAGUGGGGGAGGAGGGGCGUAUGGGCGGCUCAGAGGCGCGCGGAGGUACCGAUCUAUUCGUCGCCUCUGUUUCGCUUGGCUUUGUGGUGGUGCUGCGGCUGCGGCCUCCCUCCCUCCCUCCGUGUGUGUGUGUGUGUGUGUGUGUGUGUGGAGGAUGGCAACGCGAGAGAGGGGGAGCGCUUGCAAGUCGAAUAAGGGCACGAAAAUUUUCAUGGAAAGGCAGCAGAGCACGCACUGCCGACUGCCCCGCGCGUGCACGCUAGCGAGCUUGCAGCGACUCCCGCUGCCGCCGCGAGCGCCCUCCCUCAACACCGCUGCUCCUCUUAGCCCCCACUCCUUCUUCCUCUCCCCUCUCGGCACUGCUCUGCGCAUGUUCAAG
rnacentral:misc_RNA from 1 species